rnacentral:rRNA from 1 species
CCCUUAGAUGUUCUGGGCCGCACGCGCGCUACACUGACGGAGUCAGCGAGCAUGUCCUACGCCGACAGGUGCGGGGAAUCUUGUCAAACUUCGUCGUGAUGGGGAUUGAUUAUUGAAAUUCUUGAUCAUCAACGAGGAAUUCCUAGUAAGCGCAAGUCAGCAGCUUGCGUUGAUUACGUCCCUGCCCUUUGUACACACCGCCCGUCGCUACUACCGAUUGAAUGGUUUAGUGAGAUCUUCGGAUUGGCGCCACUGCGGCUCAGCAAUGGGCUCGGUGGAUGCCGAAAAGUUGAUCAAACUUGAUCAUUUAGAGGAAGUAAAAGUCGUAACA